AGAGUUUGAUCAUGGCUCAGAAUGAACGCUGGCGGCGUGCCUUACACAUGCAAGUCGGAUGUGUCGCAAGACACAUGGCAGACGGGUGAGUAACACGUGGGAAACUUACCUCUUAGUGGGGAAUAACGCUCCGAAAGGAGCGGUAAUACCGCAUGAGACCUAUCGCUGGGAUGCGAUAGAUGAAAGCUGGGGAUCGUAAGACCUAGCGCUGAGAGAGAGUCCUGCGUCUGAUUAGUUAGUUGGUGAGGUAACGGCUCACCAAGACUUCGAUCAGUAGCCGGCCUGAGAGGGCGAUCGGCCACACUGGAACUGAGACACGGUCCAGACUCCUACGGGAGGCAGCAGUGGGGAAUCUUGCGCAAUGGGCGAAAGCCUGACGCAGCAACGCCGCGUGGGUGAUGAAGGUCUUCGGAUUGUAAAACCCUGUCGUUAGGGACGAAGGCAUGAAUCCUAAUACGGUUCAUGUUUGACGGUACCUAGAAAGGAAGCCCCGGCUAACUCUGUGCCAGCAGCCGCGGUAAUACAGAGGGGGCAAGCGUUAUUCGGAAUUAUUGGGCGUAAAGCGCGCGCAGGCGGUGAAUGAAGUCGAAAGUGAAAGCCCCGAGCUCAACUCGGGAACUGCUUUCGAAACCAGUUCACUUGAAGGUGGAAGAGGGAAGUGGAAUUCCGAGUGUAGCGGUGGAAUGCGUAGAUAUUCGGAGGAACACCAGAGGCGAAGGCGACUUCCUGGUCCAAUCUUGACGCUGAGGCGCGAAAGCUAGGGGAGCAAACAGGAUUAGAUAUCCUGGUAGUCCUAUCUGUAAACGAUGGAUACUAGGUGUUGGAGGUUUUAACCCCUUCGGCGCCGCAGCUAACGCAUUAAGUAUCCCGCCUGGGGAGUACGGCCGCAAGGCUGAAACUCAAAGGAAUUGACGGGGCCCCGCACAAGCAGCGGAGCAUGCGGCUUAAUUCGACGCAACGCGAAGAACCUUACCAAGGCUUGA
rnacentral:rRNA from 1 species